rnacentral:rRNA from 1 species
AGAUUGAACGCUGGCGGCAUGCUUUACACAUGCAAGUCGAACGGCAGCACGGGGGCAACCCUGGUGGCGAGUGGCGAACGGUGAGUAAUGCAUCGGAACGUAUCCUUGAGUGGGGGAUAACGCAGCGAAAGUUGUGCUAAUACCGUCAUAAGCUCUAGAGGAGGAAAGCGGGGGGACCGAAAGGCCUCGCGCUGAAGGACGCGGCCGAUGUCCGAUUAGCUGGUUGGUGGGGUAACGGCCCACCAAGGCGACGAUCGGUAGCUGGUCUGGAGAAGGGAUAGGAUACCAAGCCCAACUACUGGGACUGGAGACACGGCCCAGACUCCUACGGGAGGCAGGC